rnacentral:misc_RNA from 1 species
CUGAAGACACGGCCGCGAGGCCAAUCUUCCACCCUUUGUUUAAUACACCUUUGUUGCUUUGGCGGGCCGCCUCCUGGCCACCGGCGAAAGCUGGUGCGCGCCCGCCAGAGGUCAUCAAACUCUGAAUUUAUAGUGUUGUCUGAGUAAAAUCAAAUGAUUA